CAUGCAAGUCGAGCGAAUGGAUUAAGAGCUUGCUCUUAUGAAGUUAGCGGCGGACGGGUGAGUAACACGUGGUAACCUGCCCAUAAGACUGGGAUAACUCCGGGAAACCGGGGCUAAUACCGGAUAACAUUUUGAACUGCAUGGUUCGAAAUUGAAAGGCGGCUUCGGCUGUCACUUAUGGAUGGACCCGCGUCGCAUUAGCUAGUUGGUGAGGUAACGGCUCCCAAGGCAACGAUGCGUAGCCGACCUGAGAGGGUGAUCGGCCACACUGGGACUGAGACACGGCCCAGACUCCUACGGGAGGCAGCAGUAGGGAACUUCCGCAAUGGACGAAAGUCUGACGGAGCAACGCCGCGUGAGUGAUGAAGGCUUUCGGGUCGUAAAACUCUGUUGUUAGGGAAGAACAAGUGCUAGUUGAAUAAGCUGGCACCUUGACGGUACCUAACAGAAAGCCACGGCUAACUACGUGCCAGCAGCCGCGGUAAUACGUAGGUGGCAAGCGUUAUCCGGAAUUAUUGGGCGUAAAGCGCGCGCAGGUGGUUUCUUAAGUCUGAUGUGAAAGCCCACGGCUCAACCGUGGAGGGUCAUUGGAAACU
rnacentral:rRNA from 1 species